AACACAUGAGAUUGGGAAAGACGAAACAGAAGAUGUAGAUAGGAUAGGGAGAAUAGCAGGAGAAGAAAAAAUGGGGGCAGAGGAAGGAGGAGGAACAGAAAUAGAGUAAAUAGAAAUAGAAAUGCUCCAGCCAAAGAGAUAGCCCCAGCAGCAGAUGAAACUGCAAGGGAACCACCGUAGCAGGGAUAGAGGGAUCAAAGACAACCACCGCAUCACCAGUUGUUGAAACUGCUGUCCUCUUCUUCCUUGCAGGUAAUUAUUCCUCUUCAGCAAACCUCCUUGGAGCCUUCGCAGCAUGCUUGGAUCUCUCCAUGAUGACACCAGCAAGACAAGAAACAGGUUAUGCAAAGAGCAGGAGCUGAAGAGCUAUGAACAAGAUGGAUGAUAAGAAACACUGACCCCUACAGGAAGCUGAUUGUACUUCCUGCUCUGUCACUUCCUUUAUGGGAGGCUGCAUUUAUAACAAAAAACCACUACAUCUUUUAAAUAGUUCAUAUGUAAUGUAUUUUUGUGACCUCCGUCUAUUAUAGUUUUACUAUAGUUUACUAAUAUAUUGUUAGGCCUGCUUAAUUCUAAACAGACACGACUGGAUUUUGAAACCCUUCAUAUUAACAUAAUUGUAACAUAUAAAUUUGUGAAAUGUAAUACAAUUUCUUUCUGUAUAUAUAUGAAAAUCUGCCUAACAAAAACAUUAUUUAACACGGUCAGCUUGUAAUUGUAACUACUGUUUUGUGUUUUCUCUGUUUAAACUACUGUAUUCUGUAAAUUCUACAAAUAAAUAUGAUUCUUUUAA